rnacentral:lncRNA from 1 species
UUUUUUUUUUUUUUUUUUUUUUUUUGAGACAGGGUUUCUUUGUGUAGCCCUGGAAGUCACUCUGUAGACCAGGCUGGCCUUGAAUUUAGAAAUCCGCCUGCCUCUGCCUCCCAAGUGCUGGGUUAAAGGCUUGUACCACCACUGCCCGGCACUUUUUUUAAAAAAAAUAUUAAGUUUAUAUUUCAGAUGGCAAGCUUUCUGCUUCACUCUCUUUUCAAAAGAUUUUACUUUUUUUAAACUGUUGGUCAUGAAUCAAAGAGUAAAGGGCUAAUUUUGAGUUUUUGUUUUUUAAUGUACAGAUGACACAGUUUUACAAACUGAUUAUAACUCCCACCGUCACUUUUCCCAGGGGAAUGGGAAAUUAUUUUUAAAAUGUACAGUUCAUAAAGAAUGUCAUAAAAUAUACCAAUCAGUAUUGCUUUUUUAUCAUUCAUUUUGCUUGAUUGCUGUUGUGUAAGUAACAGCAAUCAAAACUAAUCUGUGAUUGUAAUUGUUAGUUUUUUGGUUGCUGUGACAAAUACCUGAGAAGCAAUUUAAGAAGAGAAAGGUGUGUGUGUGUGUGUGUGUGUGUGUGUGUGUGUGUGUGUGACAAAUACCUGAGAAACAAUUUAAGAAGAGAAAGGUGUGUCUGUCUGUCUGUCUGUCUGUCUGUCUGGAUUUGAGGUUUUAACUAAAGGUUGGCUGGAUUCAUAGCUUGGGUCUGAUGUAAGAGAACUGGCUGCUCUUCCAGAGGUCCUAAAUUCAAUUCCCAGCAACCACAUGGUAGCUCACAACCAUCUAUUAUGGGACCUAAUGUCCUCUUCUGGCAUGCAGAAGUACAUGCAGAUAGAGCACUCAUAUACAUAAGGUAAAUAAACCCUUUUUUAAAGAAGCCUUUAUUUAAAAUAAUUCAUUUAUCAGCCAUUUGACCAUAUCCAACUUUAAGGUUAGUAAGAGCCCAGGCUUGGUAGUACCUGAGAAUCUAGCACUUGGGAGGUGGGGACAGGAAAAUCAGCUCAAGGUCCUCUUUGGCUACAUAGCUACUUGGGGGCCAAUCUGGGCUACCUGAGACCUUGCCCCCCGCCCCCAAACAAGCAAACCCCAAAAGGAUGAUAAACCAACCUAUCAUUUAUCUGAGAGUUAAACUAACACUGUUCCAUGACACAAUUUAAUGUUUACCAUAUUUAGGAACUUAUAAUUUAACAUUUCCAAAUAUCUUUGAAUUUUCUUAGUGUUCUUUCUUGACUGAUCACUGUCUCAUUUUUGAGUGUAUUGUCCUGUGAGUAACCCACUUUCCACUGACUUGUGACUAAAAAUACAAGGAAGAUUUGUCAAAUUUAGAGAAUGGUGCAGUCCUUUAAAGUCUGGUUUGGUAUUAAACCCUGGGGAGUUUUUUGUUCUUAAGGAUAAACUUUGCUACUUUGAACUGGGAUGCAUAUGUCUGCUCUGUUCUAAUACUUUUAUAAUUAUGAAAGUAAACUUUACACAUUGAUAAAAAUUUAGUGAAAUAAUCAUUGAGAACCACAGGGCAAACCCUGUUCAAUAGAGGCUGUAAGAAGAUCUUAUACGCAACUAAGGAAUACUGAGAGUUAUGGAGUAUAGAUAGUAUGUAUAACAGCUCCCCUCCCCCAAUGAGCCCCUUAAUUGGUUAUUUGGUACCAAGUAGUUAGUCUUGAAAUCAUCUACAUCCAAGUAACACUACACAGACUAAAGCAAAUAGUUAAUAUAUUUAGAUGUGUAUAUGUAAAGGUGAUAAUGAUAAAAGAGGCCAGAAUUUGAAGAGGGCACAGCAUGAAAGGCUGGAGGAAGGAAAUGGUAUAAUUACACUUUAAUCCAAAGUUUAAAAGGACAAGGUUGUAAAGAACUUGCUUUAAACCUAUUUUCUAUUUCUUUUUCUUUUAAAAAAGAAAUUUAAAAACAUUUAUUUUGUGUGUCUGGGUAUUUUGUCUGCAUAUAUGUCUGCACCCCCCUGUGUGCCUGGUGGCCACAGGGGCCUUUGAAAGAGGGCUUUGGAUCUCUUGGGACUGGAGUUACAGAUGGUUGUGAGCUACCGUGGGGAAGCUGGGAAUUGAAUUCAAGUUCUCUAGAAAGGCAGCUAGUGCUGCACCGAGCCAUCUUUCCAGCUCCAUUUUGUAUUGCACAGUUUAACUUAACAGUUUCCUUGGUAGAGCGUGGUGAUCCAUAUGCUUCAGCCAUCAUUCAGGAGGUAGAAGCAGGAGGUCUCUGAGUUCCAAGCCAGCCUUGUCUACCAAGCAAGUUCAGAACCACCAGGGCUACAAUAGAGAUGUCUUGUCUCAAAGAAAAACAAGAAAACCAACAAAACAAACAAACAACUAAAUAAAAAAAAACCCAAAAGGCAGUUUUCUUGCCAAGCUCUUGGAUAGAUUUUCAGUAAUAUCAUCAUGCUAUACUUGAAUGACAGAAUUCCAUAACCAGAAAGGUUGGGAAGUUUAAAGCUAUGACCAGCAAUGAGGUAAGAAAGUUCUAGUUGCUGAGAAGAGGGGUUGGGGGAGAAACACUAUAUAACACCAAAAGUUCUUAGAAUGGCUUCAGAGUUUUUUUUUUUAUACAUUUAUUUAUUUAUUUGUUUGUUUGUUUGUUUGUUUAUUUGUAAGUCAGGGUUUCUGACUGUCCUGGAACUCACGUUGUAGGCCAGGCUGGCUUCAAACUCAGAGAUGUACCUGCCUCUGCCUCUGCCUCCCAAAUGCUGGGAUCAAAGGUGUGCUCCACUUCAAUCAACUUUUUAUAGUUAUUUUGUAUUCUUUCACGUGAUUUUUUUUAUCAUGGAAAAGUAGUUUAUUUUACUUAGUCCCUACACUACUACUGUGAAAAUAGCAAGUUAAGUAAGAUCAUGCAACUAAUAAACGACUGUAAUAGAAUUUAAAUUCAGUGACUCUGACUUUGGGAUUUUUUUUUUUUAAGACAAUUUCCUGCUCCCUGAGCCUGCUUCAUUGAGAUUACACUUGCCUGAUCUGUCCUGUAUUUGUAUUUCCUGCUCUACUGUAUUGCCUUUUCUUUUUAGCUUAGUAAUACAAGAAAAUUAUAACCUUACACUAUUUUUUUUUUGCAUUUAGUGUGUGUGCCCAUUUGUGUGCAUGCCAUGAUGCACCUGUAGGAUUCAAAGGAAAACUUGCAGGAGUUGCUUCUCUUUCCACUUACGAUGUCAUGUUUGGCAGCAAGCACUUUUAGCCAGCCCCCUCACUUAAUCUGGGAUUAGACUAAAAUUGUAUGUUUAUAUGUCAGUUUUUGAAGAUUAAAGGAAUGAUAAUACAGAAUCAUAUUUUAAGGGUGUAUAGCUCAGUAGAAGGGCACUUGCCUAGCAUGGGCUAUUUAUUUAGCACACAUAUUACGGGUGGCGAUAGUAAUUUCUACCUUUACUAAUAAGAGCCUGAUGUAGAAAAGUCUUUGUAGGAACAGCUAACAGUCCUUGCAUAUUUGCCAAGUUUAUUUUGUUGUGGAUUUAGUAAAUAUGACAGUUUAAAAUGGAGUUGCUGUUACAAAACAGAACAAGGAGUCACAGAUGGCCUAUAGUCCCAGCUCCUCUGGAGGCUGGGGCAAAAGGAGUGCAUAUUGGAUACAUUUCUCAAGAGGAAGUUAAAAAAAAAGAAGG